AUGGAAAACACAGUUGUCUGGAGUUUAUUAGUUGUACUUACUAUUCAUGGUGUUUGGGGAAACCAAAUGGACCAGUCGCCCUCUGAGGUGAAAAGACCUGGACAGUCAGUAAAGAUGUCAUAUGUUAUAUCUGGGUUUGACAUGACAAGCUACAGUUCAAGCUCUGCUAGCUAUGGCAGCUCCUUUCAAAGCCAUUUCAUCAUGACUGAAGAUGUGCCCAGCAGCGCUCAGUACCUCAAGGUCAAAAGCCUGAUAACACAAGAUUCUGCUGUUUACUUCUGUGCUCGAUCAAGCACAGUGGCUGAAGACGAUG